UUCAUAUAGCCCAGCUGGUAGAGCAUGAGACUCUUAAUCUCAGGCUUGUGGUUUCAAACCCCACAUUGGGCAAAA